AGUGAACGCUGGCGGUAGGCCUAACACAUGCAAGUCGAACGGCAGCACAGUAAGAGCUUGCUCUUACGGGUGGCGAGUGGCGGACGGGUGAGGAAUACAUCGGAAUCUACUUUUUCGUGGGGGAUAACGUAGGGAAACUUACGCUAAUACCGCAUACGACCUACGGGUGAAAGCAGGGGAUCUUCGGACCUUGCGCGAUUGAAUGAGCCGAUGUCGGAUUAGCUGGUUGGCGGGGUAAAGGCCCACCAAGGCGACGAUCCGUAGCUGGUCUGAGAGGAUGAUCAGCCACACUGGAACGGAGACGCGGUCCAGACUCCUACGGGAGGCAGCAGUGGGGAAUAUUGGACAAUGGGCGCAAGCCUGAUCCAGCCAUACCGCGUGGGUGAAGAAGACCUUCGGGUUGUAAAGCCCUUUUGUUGGGAAAGAAAAGCAGCAGGUUAAUACCCCGCUGUUCUGACGGUACCCAAAGAAUAAGCACCGGCUAACUUCGUG
rnacentral:rRNA from 1 species